AUGGCCAUCUCGGGGGAGAGGGAAGGAGGAGCAGCUAGAGGGAGGUGGGGAAAGAAGGGCAGACAGCCCAUCCGCUUGGAAGGCAGCAUGCACAGAUGUUUGCAGCAGCAGAUGGCAGCCUGCAGCAGAGCCGUCCACAGUACCCCUGGCCAGCAAGGGGUAGGAAAGGAAGAGGGAGGCUGCCCAGGCUCCUCUGGAUCCACCGUCUUGAACAACAGCGGCUCCCGCUGUGGACAUGGGCUGAGGGGAUCACAUCACAGCCUGUGUGACAUGGAUGAUGUCUCCUGUCCCCAGCUCCCACUGGAGACCUACUGGCACCGUACCAUCAGCUCUGGACUGUCUUUCCUUCUCUGUUGUUGGCCUCUGGCAAUUGCCCCAACUUCCUUAGAGACUCUGGUUUUCUGCCCUCUUUUCUGGAAGGUGCACGAUGCUCGGCUCUGUGGUUAUUUUCGCCUAACAGCUGUGUUUCCGGACUGUCUCUAG
rnacentral:lncRNA from 12 species